rnacentral:rRNA from 1 species
UACGGGGGGAGCAAGCGUUGUUCGGAUUUACUGGGCGUAAAGGGCGCGUAGGCGGCCACCGCAAGUCGACUGUGAAAUCUCCGGGCUUAACCCGGAAAGGUCAGCCGAUACUGCGGGGCUAGAGUGCAGAAGGGGCAACUGGAAUUCUCGGUGUAGCGGUGAAAUGCGCAGAUAUCAGGAAGAACACCAAUGGCGAAAGCAGCUCUCUGGGACGGUACUGACGCUGAGACGCGAAAGCGUGGGGAGCGAACAGG